rnacentral:lncRNA from 1 species
UUUUGAACCCCGAAGUCUUAGUCCGGCUUACAGGGUAUGAAAGCAGUUCUGUGGCAAAUAAACCCUUACACGAGGUCCAGAUCGCUGUGCGUAUCCUUUCCGGUCUGGGGGACUUAGACAGAGAGAGGAGGUCAGCUUUUCCUUAGACUUGAAAGUCGCUUAAGUAAGCCGUAGGUUUCUUUAUGUGGGCUGUUUGCUUGUAUAGAAGUUCCAACUUACUGCAACCUCAGUGAGUGUGGCCGUGGGCUGUUUGUUGGUUAGUUCGCUUGUUUGGAACCUUGUCUCUCAGUAGCUAGGCUGGCCUUAAACUCAUAGCCAUCCUCCUGCCUCAGCCUACUAAGUGUGAGGAUUACCCUCCUUUCUUCACUAGGUUUUUACACGAAGAUAGAGAAAAACCUGGAUGACCAAGCCCUCGUCAUGGGACCCACACUGCACAAUUAGGAGGCUUAAGUACUUUUACAUACAAAUUUACCCUAGCCAGCAUUUAGCGUUCUGCUCAUUAAUUAAUAACUUACACCUGAUCUGCUUAGAGUUGCUUAAUUAUAAAUAAAUUUAAUCCUAGUAGCAAUUGGCCUUAAUCUCAGGAGUUGAAACUAUUUAACACACAGUCGCUGCCAGGGAGGAGCUGGCCUCAUUUACUGGGGAAAGUCUAGGCCAGUGAAGAGAAACUGCUGCUCAGGCAGAGGACAACCAUGUAAGUGGGAGUGGGGAAAAAUUGAUCCAUCAUGGAGCCCACUGUUCUGGUCUGAAGCAAGCCAGAGCUUGAGAAGUACCAGCCCCAGCCUCACUGUCUCCCUGUUCUUCUCUGCCACUGUGGUGAAAGCCCCACGCCCAGCUGCUUCCCUAGAGAAGAGUUGAAUAUUCAGGUGCAGCCCAUGGUCAGACUUUCCCUGUGGAGAGAAGCGACCAGACCCCUGGUUUCAUGUGAGACCAGACUCUCACCUCCCUUCGCCCACUGGUACUUGGACUUACUACAGACUAUUUCCUUGAUUAAGUUGAGCAUUUCUUUUUUUUUUUUUUUUAAGAUUUAUUUAUUAUUAUAUUUAAGUACACUGUAGCUGUCUUCAGAUGCACCAGAAAAGGGCGUCAGAUCUCAUUACGGAUGGUUGUGAGCCACCAUGUGGUUGCUGGGAUUUGAACUCAGGACCUUCAGAAGAGCGGUCGGUGCUCUUAACCACUGAGCCAUCUCUCCAGCCCAAGUUGAGCAUUUCUUGAUACGACCUUAAACAUUAGAGAGAAGCCAGGCUUGGUAGCACACACCUGUAAUGCCAGCACUUGGGAGGUGAAAGUAGAACUAGGAUUUCAUAGCCAGCCUGGGCUACACAAGACCUUAGAGAGAAGCUAGAGCAAGUGGGUAAUGGAAGAGAUGACAGAGAGCUGGAGAGAGAUUAAAGAACCACAGGUUUACUUUG